AGCGGUCACCCGCACACAGCAGGUGCUACUGACCCUGCAUGCUGAGCAGACAAAGGCUCCAUUGCUCUCCUGGAAACCACGUUCUCCUGGCCGUGGGACUCCACUCUGGCUGGAAGGGCCAUCCUCCAGAUACCAAUUUGCAUGAGAGGGAUUGCAGACCACCAGAGUCCAGCAGAUGGCAGCAGUGCGCUUCUGGGGUCUCUGCAGAAGCCCUGCCUUUCCUGACUUAAUCUCAAAAUCUCAGGAAGCAGCCAUGGGCUGAGUGGGGCCUCAGAGCCACAGGCAAGCAGCAUUCAAGGUGACUUUUGUCACCUGGGGACUUUUUUGGCUUCUACAGCUGAGGAGAGACCUAACAGGCAUCUAUCUCAUAAGGAGACACGGGUGAAGCUGUUGAAAACCCUGGAAUGGAGAAAAAGACAUGGAAGUACGGAGGAGAGACCCAUUGAGAAUAGGUCUAUCCAGAGAGAGAAAGGAAAGAAGAGGGAAUGGGGUGUGAAAAAGACUGCAAUUCAUUAUGUAAAUCCAUGAAACCUGCAAACAAUUAAAAUAAAUAAAUAAAUA